rnacentral:rRNA from 1 species
CAGCAGCCGCGGGUAAUACAGAGGGUGCGAGCGUUAAUCGGAUUUACUGGGCGUAAAGCGUGCGUAGGCGGCUUCUUAAGUCGGAUGUGAAAUCCCUGAGCUUAACUUAGGAAUUGCAUUCGAUACUGGGAAGCUAGAGUAUGGGAGAGGAUGGUAGAAUUCCAGGUGUAGCGGUGAAAUGCGUAGAGAUCUGGAGGAAUACCGAUGGCGAAGGCAGCCAUCUGGCCUAAUACUGACGCUGAGGUACGAAAGCAUGGGGAGCAAACAGGAUUAGAUACCCCCGUAGUCCCUGUCUCUUAUA